rnacentral:tRNA from 1 species
CCGGGUGUGGCGAAGCUGGUAUCGCGCUAGUUUUGGGAUCUAGAGAUUUCGCCCGUUCGAAUCGGGUCACUCGGACCA